rnacentral:rRNA from 1 species
UGAAUACGAGACGCUAAGGCGUCGAAGUAGUGUAUGUCAUACUUCCAAGAAAAGCUUGCACUGUCAUAGAUAAAAAACGCCUGUACCAUAACCGACACAGGUGGGUAGGUAGAGUAUACUAAGGGGCGCGAGAUAACUCUCUCUAAGGAACUCGGCAAAAUAACUCCGUAACUUCGGGAGAAGGAGUGCCUUAUUCGUAAGGUUGCAAUAACAAGAUCCAAGCAACUGUUUAUCAAAAACACAGGUCUCCGCUAAGUCGUAAGACGAUGUAUGGGGGCUGACGCCUGCCCAGUGCCAGAAGGUUAAAGAAGUUGGUUAGCAAUUGCGAAGCUGAUAACUGAAGCCCUGGUGAACGGCGGCCGUAACUAUAACGGUCCUAAGGUAGCGAAAUCCCUUGUCGGGUAAGUUCCGACCCGCACGAAAGGCGUAAUGAUUUGGAUACUGUCUCGGAGAGGGGCUCGGUGAAAUAGACUUGUCUGUGAAGAUGCGGACUACCUGCACCAGGACAGAAAGACCCUAUGAAGCUUUACUGUAACUUGAAAUUGAAAUUGGACUUUAUUCGCGCAGUAUAGGUGGGAGGCGUUGAUUAUAAUCUUGUGGGAUUAUUGGAGCCAUCAGUGAGAUACCACUCUUGUAAUGUUAGAUUUCUAACUUUGAAUCAUUAUCUGGUCAAAGAACAGUUUCAGGCGGGCAGUUUGACUGGGGCGGUCGCCUCCUAAACGGUAACGGAGGCGUACAAAGGUUUCCUCUGAACGGUUAGAAAUCGUAUCUAGAGUGUAAAGGCAUAAGGAAGCUUGACUGUGAGACCUACAAGUCGAGCAGGGACGAAAGUCGGUCUUAGUGAUCUGACGGUACUGAGUGGAAAGGCCGUCACUCAACGGAUAAAAGUUACUCUAAGGAUAACAGGCUGAUCUCCCCCAAGAGUUCACAUCGACGGGGAGGUUUGGCACCUCGAUGUCGGCUCAUCGCAUCCUGGGGCGGUAGUACGUCCCAAGGGUUGGGCUGUUCGCCCAUGAAAGCGGUACGCGAGCUGGGUUCAGAACGUCGUGAGACAGUUCGGUCCAUAUCCGGUGUAGGCGUUAGAAUAUUGAGAGGAGCCUUCUUUAGUACGAGAGGACCGAGAAGGACAUACCUCUGGUGUACCAGUUAUCGUGCCAACGGUAAACGCUGGGUAGCUAUGUAUGGAGUGGAUAACCGCUGAAAGCAUCUAAGUGGGAAGCCCACCUCAAGAUAAGUAUUCUCAC